rnacentral:tRNA from 1 species
GAAGGAGGCUCAGAAGCAAUAAGAACUGCUAAUUCUUACCCCCAUGGUUAAAAUCCACGGCUCUCUCG